CACUUCAUAACCGCCCAACUUCCACCACUAUAUUUAAUUUCUCAUUAUGCUCUCUACAUCUCUUUCUCGUUCUUUCUGUGAGGCAGCAAAGAUGGGUAAAGAAGCGGAGUUUGUUCACCUGAAGAAGAAACCCAUGAAGAAACGCAAAAAGAAUCAACUUCUCAACAAAGUCUUGGAUUAUCUCAUGUCUGACACUUUUAUGUUUGCACCUCUCUAUUCUUCCUCCUCCUCCUCUGUUCCUGAUGGAAUUGAGGAAGAUAAACCCCUGGACAACGUUGGGGAUUAUUUGAAGUCUGAUGACUAUUUGUAUGCCCCCUUGCUUAUUUUCCCACCUCAGGCUUCGGUUCAUGUAUCUAAAGGGCCGGUUCCUAUACAAGAAGAGAUGGACAGAAAGAGAUCUGCUGAUGUGCUAAAAGGAGGGACUGGAAAAGCGGAUGAACCUGGUAGGAAGAUAGUUAAUGUGGUUAGCAAAGAUCAUAACAUGGAUGGUUUUCCUCAUACUAAGAGUCCUAUGGUCACACGUACUCGGGUACGUAGAGAGACUGUGAAGCACAUGAUCUAUCAAAACUGCUGACCUUUAUUUGCGAGUUACCUCAGGUAACUUUGGCUAUGUUGCUCUAUCCUUGAAUCUUGAUGAUGCAAUGCCGGAAUUGAUAUUAACUCGUAAUUGAUUUUUGAACCUGAAGAUGGGUCAAGUCUACGAAGACAUUACCUUUAUAUUUAAGGGAGUUACAAGGGUUCAAUUCUAGGAAGACAUUCCCUUUAAGGAGUUGAACAAUGCACUUUGUAGUUCAAUUCUAGGGAUACAUCACCUUUAACUGAAUUAUGCAAGGCACCUGUGCACUUAAUCUCUAGAAGGAGGCAAGCAGCCUUUGCCACGUUGCUGGCUCCCGGGAAAAAGGACCUUCUUCUACAUUUGACAGUUCUGGAGGCCUCACUGUAGUAGGGGCCUUGAAGAUCUCUUGUAGCUGACCUUACCUUGAUGAGACAGACAUGGAAGGUUGGAAGGUUGUUUCUUAGUGUAGAGGCCUUAUCUUUGUUGUUAGCUUUCAACUCAUUUGUUUGAUAGUAGUCAUGCAUUUCUAUCUAAUUUAAUAGCAUGAGACUCGUUUUACUCUGCUCCAUUCACUGUUAUAUUCCGGAGUUGCACUAACCUGAGAGGCACCUGAAAGGCUGAAACACUUGCACUGGAAACCUGGUCAGAGUUCCUGUCCUAGAUCUUAGUUCUCCUGCUCUUAGAUUCCUUGAUCACAAUCGUCGUCUUCCCUGUCUUUUGGAACUCUAGUUGCAUGCAUUACCAAAAACUCAAUGAGCCUCUAGGGGAAGGAAAGCUACCACAAAAGAAUACAGUGCAUGGAUUAAAUUAUGUUACGUCCUUAUGAUUCUCUGCAAUAUUUUUGCUUUCUUUCAUUCGCACUGGUUUGUCUCUAUUUCAAUCCUACGCUUUUAGGAUUUUAUUGGAUUCACGUUUUCAGGAACUUAAAGCAACCUAUGAUAACUUAACAUCCUGUGUGUUCGAAAUCAGUUUUCGUGAACUAAAACUUAUAAUUCAGCUGAGGACUGAACCUAUUUAUUAUUUCGGCUGGAGGACUUGUUUGGAUGUUCGAAGCAUAGGGAUUUGGUUACCUUCUCUUCCUUCCAUGGUCGAUUCCUCGUCUUCAAUAGAAGGCAGCCGGCUGAUAGAAACAGAACCAAGCAAGGCUUGUGGGAUGAAGUUCGUGUGAUGAUGGGCAGUGCUGCUGCUUAGCUAAUCUGAUUCAAGAUAGUUAUAGCUGGAUUUGUUUACCUAGGUAGUUUCGUUGAGUUUAUACAUUGUAAUAUGAUAAGUGGGUGAGUAUGCUAGUUUUACCCGUCAUUUAGGUCUGGACGUUCAUGCUAAUGUACACACUGUAAUAUGAUAUCCGGGUACAUGUGCUAGUUUUAUGCGUCUUCAUUUAGGCAAAGGACAGUCCAUAGCUAAUGUAUGCAUACAUUGUGUUGCAGCUACAUGUAGCUAUCCCAAUCCGUUGUCACCAAGAACAUUUUCGUCAUUA